rnacentral:rRNA from 1 species
AGUGAACGCUGGCGGUAGGCCUAACACAUGCAAGUCGAACGGCAGCACAGUAAGAGCUUGCUCUUACGGGUGGCGAGUGGCGGACGGGUGAGGAAUACAUCGGAAUCUACUUUUUCGUGGGGGAUAACGUAGGGAAACUUACGCUAAUACCGCAUACGACCUACGGGUGAAAGCAGGGGAUCUUCGGACCUUGCGCGAUUGAAUGAGCCGAUGUCGGAUUAGCUAGUUGGCGGGGUAGAGGCCCACCAAGGCGACGGUCCGUAGCUGAUCUGACAGGAUGAUCAGCCACACUGGAUGUGAGACACGGUCCAGACUCCGAGGGGAGGCAGCAGUGGGGAAUAUUGGACAAUGGGCGCAAGCCUGAUCCAGCCAUACCGCGGGGGUGAAGAAGGCCUUCGGGUUGUAAAGCCCUUUUGUUGGGAAAGAAAAGCAGCAGGUUAAUACCCCGCUGUUCUGACGGUACCCAAAGAAUAAGCACCGGCUAACUUCGUG